UACGUAGGGAGCAAGCGUUAUCCGGAUUUAUUGGGUGUAAAGGGAGCGUAGACGGCGAUGCAAGCCAGAUGUGAAAGCCCGGGGCUCAACCCCGGGACUGCAUUUGGAACUGUAUAGCUAGAGUGUCGGAGAGGCAGGCGGAAUUCCUAGUGUAGCGGUGAAAUGCGUAGAUAUUAGGAGGAACACCAGUGGCGAAGGCGGCCUGCUGGACGAUGACUGACGUUGAGGCUCGAAAGCGUGGGGAGCAAACAGG
rnacentral:rRNA from 1 species